rnacentral:rRNA from 1 species
GGGUGAGUAAUGCAUCGGAAUGUACCGUGUAAUGGGGGAUAGCUCGGCGAAAGCCGGAUUAAUACCGCAUACGCCCUGAGGGGGAAAGCGGGGGAUCGAAAGACCUCGCGUUAUACGAGCAGCCGAUGUCUGAUUAGCUAGUUGGUGAGGUAAGAGCUCACCAAGGCGACGAUCAGUAGCGGGUCUGAGAGGAUGAUCCGCCACACUGGGACUGAGACACGGCCCAGACUCCUACGGGAGGCAGCAGUGGGGAAUUUUGGACAAUGGGCGCAAGCCUGAUCCAGCCAUGCCGCGUGUCUGAAGAAGGCCUUCGGGUUGUAAAGGACUUUUGUUCGGGAGGAAAUCCCGCUGGUUAAUACCUGGCGGGGAUGACAGUACCGGAAGAAUAAGCACCGGCUAACUACGUGCCAGCAGCCGCGGUAAUACGUAGGGUGCAAGCGUUAAUCGGAAUUACUGGGCGUAAAGCGUGCGCAGGCGGUUGUGCAAGUCUGAUGUGAAAGCCCCGGGCUCAACCUGGGAACGGCAUUGGAGACUGCACGACUAGAGUGCGUCAGAGGGGGGUAGAAUUCCGCGUGUAGCAGUGAAAUGCGUAGAGAUGCGGAGGAAUACCAAUGGCGAA